AUUGUUUUGACGUUACCGACAGAAUAAGCCGGCUAACUCUGUGCCAGCAGCCGCGGUACAGAGGGUGCAAGCGUUAAUCGGAAUUACUGGGCGUAAAGCGCGCGUAGGUGGUUUGUUAAGUUGGAUGUGAAAGCCCCGGGCUCAACCUGGGAACUGCAUCCAAAACUGGCAAGCUAGAGUAUGGUAGAGGGUGGUGGAAUUUCCUGUGUAGCGGUGAAAUGCGUAGAUAUGGAACACCAGUGGCGAAGGCGACCACCUGGACUGAUACUGACACUGAGGUGCGAAAGCGGGGAGCAAACAGGAUUAGAUACCCUGGUAGUCCACGUAAACGAUGUCAACUAGCCGUUGGGAGCCUUGAGCUCUUAGUGGCG
rnacentral:rRNA from 1 species